UACGUAGGGCGCAAGCGUUAUCCGGAAUUAUUGGGCGUAAAGAGCUCGUAGGCGGCUUGUCGCGUCGGAUGUGAAAGCCCGGGGCUUAACCCCGGGUCUGCAUUCGAUACGGGCAGACUAGAGGUAUGCAGGGGAGAAUGGAAUUCCUGGUGUAGCGGUGAAAUGCGCAGAUAUCAGGAGGAACACCGGUGGCGAAGGCGGGUCUCUGGGCCGAUUACCUGACGCUGAGGAGCGAA
rnacentral:rRNA from 1 species